rnacentral:rRNA from 1 species
GACGAACGCUGGCGGCGUGCUUAACACAUGCAAGUCGAACGGAAAGGCCCUGCUUUUGUGGGGUGCUCGAUUGGCGAACGGGUGAGUAACACGUGAGUAACCUGCCCUUGACUUUGGGAUAACUUCAGGAAACUGGGGCUAAUACCGGAUAGGAGCUCCUGCUGCAUGGUGGGGGUUGGAAAGUUUCGGCGGUUGGGGAUGGACUCGCGGCUUAUCAGCUUGUUGGUGGGGUAGUGGCUUACCAAGGCUUUGACGGGUAGCCGGCCUGAGAGGGUGACCGGGCACAUUGGGACUGAGAUACGGACCAGACUCCUACGGGAGGCAGCAGUGGGGAAUAUUGCACAAUGGGCGGAAGCCUGAUGCAGCAACGCCGCGUGCGGGAUGACGGCCUUCGGGUUGUAAACCGCUUUCGCCUGUGACGAAGCGUGAGUGACGGUAAUGGGUAAAGAAGCACCGGCUAACUACGUG